GGUGGCGAUAUUGCCCUCUCGCCUUCACCCUAUUUCAUGCUUCUCCCUGUAGCGAAGCAAUGGCAUUGCAGAUAUUCUUGUCAAAACCAAGGGUUUAUGGAGUGGGCCCCGUGAUGGAAAACUUGUGGUUUGGAGCGGUUGCACGGUCUUGAUCUUGAGCCUUGAAGCACCACCACACCGCCACCGCUACCGCCAUCAUCUUCAUCUCACAUGCGGAAAGGCUCUGGAUCAACACUGUUGCUUGUAUACCGUCGAUGAAUAUUGAAAGCUAUGAGAUCUGAGGGCUUCUUCAAGUUUCUGUUCAAACCCCUUUGUUUAUAUGUCGUUAUCAAGGAAUUAUAAAGCCCCGAUGCACUGAUUUCUUACCAGUGAGGCCCAUGGUUUGUCGAUCCAGACCGUUGAUCUUAUGGGACCUAUUAAAGAUGUGGGAUGCUCCAAAAAUAAUCUGGAGUGGGAGAUCCUUGCAGUCAAAUCUUUCUUCUUUCUCUUCUGGACCGUCGAUUUGCGGGCCUCAAAACAAAAGGUUUAGAACCUCUAAAUCUUGAGAUGCUGUUGGGAAAUCCCCGAGUGCUGGUGCAGGCCAUAAGAUCAGUGAUCUGGAUGACCAAACCUUGGGCCUAUAAAAUGGUGCGUCGGGAAACUAUUUGCAUUCUGAUACAUCGGGAGUUUAUAAUUCAUCUUUGUUAUUUCAUAAUUCCUUUUAUUAUACACUUAUUAGCUAAUCAUCUUUGGUGUUGAUUUACUUUCUCAAUACAAAUAAAAUGAAAGCAUUUCUCCCUUACUAAUAGCAUUCUCUCAAUGUAUUUACGCUAUGUGUGGAUGCACUAUUGAAUUGAAUUGCACUUUUAAGUCUGGCUAAGGGCU